UGAGGUAGUAGUUUCUU
rnacentral:miRNA from 1 species